rnacentral:rRNA from 1 species
CAGCAGCCGCGGUAAUACGUAGGGUGCGAGCGUUAAUCGGAAUUACUGGGCGUAAAGUGUGCGCAGGCGGUUGUGUAAGACAGGUGUGAAAUCCCCGGGCUUAACCUGGGAACUGCGCUUGUGACUGCACAGCUAGAGUAUGGCAGAGGGGGGUGGAAUUCCACGUGUAGCAGUGAAAUGCGUAGAGAUGCGGAGGAACACCGAUGGCGAAGGCAGCCCCCUGGGCCAAUACUGACGCUCAUGCACGAAAGCGUGGGGAGCAAACAGGAUUAGAUACCCCCGUAGUCCCUGUCUCUUAUAC